rnacentral:rRNA from 1 species
UACGGAGGUGGCAAGCGUUGUUCGGAAUUACUGGGCGUAAAGGGCGCGUAGGCGGCUAGGCAAGUCAGGUGUGAAAGCCCCGAGCUUAACUCGGGAACUGCAUCUGAAACUGCUGGGCUUGAGUUCUGGAGGGGGUAGUGGAAUUCCCAGUGUAGCGGUGAAAUGCGUAGAUAUUGGGAGGAACACCUGCGGCGAAGGCGGCUACCUGGACAGAAACUGACGCUGAGGCGCGAAAGCUAGGGGAGCGAACGGG